rnacentral:rRNA from 1 species
AAUCAACGCUGGCGGCGUGCCUCAGACAUGCAAGUCGAACGAUUAAACUUUCCUUCGGGAAAGAUAUAAAGUGGCGCACGGGUGAGUAACACGUAGGUAAUGUACCUUUGGGUGGGGAAUAACUUAGGGAACUUAAGCUAAUACCGCAUAAUGCAGCGGCUCCUUCGGGAGACAGUUGUUAAAGAUUUAUCGCCUAAAGAGCAGCCUGCGGCAGAUUAGCUAGUUGGUAAGGUAACGGCUACCAAGGCGACGAUCUGUAUCCGACCUGAGAGGGUGGUCGGACACACUGACACUGAAUAACGGGUCAGACUCCUACGGGAGGCAGCAGUCGGGAAUUUGGGCAAUGGGCGAAAGCCUGACCCAGCAACGCCGCGUGAAGGAUGAAGUCUUUCGGGAUGUAAACUUACGU